rnacentral:rRNA from 1 species
UACGAAGGGGGCUAGCGUUGUUCGGAAUUACUGGGCGUAAAGCGCGUGUAGGCGGGUCUUUAAGUCAGGGGUGAAAUGCCAGGGCUCAACCUUGGAACUGCCUUUGAUACUGGAGACCUUGAGGACCAGAGAGGGACAUAGAAUUCCGGGUGGAGUGGUGAAAUGCGUAGAUAUCCGGAGGAAUACCAAAGGCGAAGGCAGUGUCCUGGGCCACCUCUGACGCUGAUACGCGAAGGCGUGGGGAGCGAACGGG